AAAAAAAACCACGAAAAAAGAAAUAUGAUUGGACCAGAAGGCCAAUAACCUGAGUGGGGAAACCCAGCAAGUCCUGUCCGUGUAGAUUCUUCUUGACCUUUCUCUGCAGCAUUCCUUCCUUCUGAGUACGGGGCAGGACUCUCUCUGGGAUGGAGGGGUCUUAGGACCUGCAAGUAAACAAGAGGCAGUAGUAGAAGCCAUGAGUCUGAUAAGUUUGCUGAAGGAGAGAGUGUGCUGUGAGGACGGAUCGUUGACAAGACCCUGGAGGACACAAGGACCUAAGAGCCCCUAAGAGGAGACAGAGAAGGUGCUGUCCCACAAAGUGCAAGAUGUCCCAGGAGAGAGGUGUCC
rnacentral:lncRNA from 1 species